GGUUGAUCCUGCCAGUAGUCAUAUGCUUGUCUCAAAGAUUAAGCCAUGCAUGUCUAAGUGUAACUACUAGCAUUAGAAGACUGCGGAUGGCUCAUUAAAUCAGUUAUUGUCAAUUUGAAGUGCUUUUUUACUCGGAUAACCGAGGAAAAGCUUGGGCUAAUACGUGCAAUACACACUCGACUUCGGAAGGGUUGUAUUCAUUGGUUGUUUAAACCAGCUAGAGCUUGCUCUAUUUGAUGAGACACAGUGACUUGUAAAUGCAACGAAUCGCACAGCCUCGCGCUAGCGAUG
rnacentral:rRNA from 1 species